AACGCACGAGACCUGCGGACCUGCGGAGGGAUCAUUACAGGACUCGCAAGACUCCUACAACCCUGUGAACUUAACUAUAAGCACGUUGCUUCGGCGGGUGUCUCGGCGAGGGUUCUCCCUCCCCGGGGCGCUAAGCCCGCCGGCAGCCUACUAUACUCUGUCUCUUUGCGUUGGCAUCUCGAGUACAAACAAACAAGUUAAAACUUUCAACAACGGAUCUCUAGAUCGGAAGAGCACACG
rnacentral:misc_RNA from 1 species